rnacentral:rRNA from 1 species
UACGUAGGGUGCGAGCGUUAAUCGGAAUUACUGGGUGUAAAGCGUGCGCAGGCGGUUUUGUAAGCCAGAUGUGAAAUCCCCGGGCUUAACCUGGGAAUGGCAUUUGGGACUGCAAGGCUAGAGUUUGGCAGAGGAGACUGGAAUUCCUGGUGUAGCAGUGAAAUGCGUAGAUAUCAGGAGGAAUACCGAUGGCGAAGGCAGGUCUCUGGGCUAUAACUGACGCUCAUGCACGAAAGCGUGGGGAGCAAACAGG